rnacentral:rRNA from 1 species
CCUUGUACACACCGCCCGUCACACCAUGGGGGUUGGCUUUACCUGAAGCCGGUGCGCUAACCCGCAAGGGAGGCAGCCGACCACGGUAGGGUCAGCGACUGGGGUG